rnacentral:lncRNA from 1 species
AUUUAAUUCUUCACCAGGUUCUCGUUAUAACCUCUAAAAGAAGCUUUUCUAAAGCCGGAGAAUUUCUGCUCAUAGCCUCUCGAGCACCUCGUCCACUCCCUCAUGCUCACUCUUUGUGUAGGCUUUUCUCCCUGAAGAAUCAUGCAUGCAGCAUUGAUGUCUUGAUUCCAUGUGCUUCCUCCUUAGUGCUACCUUGCCCUGGCCAAAGGAGGCUUAUCUGAUGACCAUGUCCUCAUCCUGCCCAUUGGCCACUACCAGUCAGUGGUGGAGCUUUCAGCAGAGGUGGUAGAAGAGGUGGAGAAGUAUAAGGUGACACUGAGGCGGUUCUUUAAAAGUCGGGGGAAACGGUGUGUUCUGUUUGAGAGAAAUUAUAAGAGCCAUCACCUCCAGCUACAGGUCAUUCCUGUGCCACUCAGCUGCUGCACUACAGAUGACAUCAAAGAUGCCUUCAUCACCCAGGCAGAGCAGCAGCAGAUGGAGCUGCUGGAAAUCCCAGAGCACUCUGACAUCAAGCAGAUUACACAGCCAGGAGCAGCAUAUUUUUAUGUUGAACUUGACACGGGAGAGAAGCUUUUCCAUAGAAUUAAAAAGAAUUUUCCUUUACAGUUUGGAAGGGAGGUACUGGCCAGUGAAGCCAUCCUUAAUAUUCCUGACAAGUCUGACUGGAGGCAAUGUCAGGUCAGCAAGGAAGAGGAGGAGAUGCUGGCUAGCCGCUUCCGGAAAGACUUUGAGCCCUUUGACUUCACUCUGGAUGAUUAAGCAAAGGGAAAGGCACUUCAUGAACUUGACAGGAAGUAGUAGCCUGUUUUUUAAAGAAACUACAGUCUCCCAUGGGGACUGUUUCUCUGCCUCUUUUUUGUGCAUUCCCAUGGAACCUGCCUGCGGCAAGAGGCCUAAGAUAGAGUAUUUUUUUGGAAAUAUUUCUAGGAUGAAAUUCCUGUUAAAAUAAGCAUGUCUGUCAUCCUGCUCCAAGUACAGUUUAUGUUAAUCAACAUUUUCAAAAACAUUAAACCAUCAAAUAAAAUCCAGAUGCUUUUUCA